rnacentral:rRNA from 1 species
AUUGAACGCUGGCGGCAGGCCUAACACAUGCAAGUCGAACGAGUGGCGGACGGGUGAGUAAUGUCUGGGAAACUGCCUGAUGGAGGGGGAUAACUACUGGAAACGGUAGCUAAUACCGCAUACCAUCGGUUGUGCCCAUAGGGGAUUAGCUUGUAGGUGGGGUAACGGAUAACCUAGGCGACGAUCCCUAGCUGGUCUGAGAGGAUGACCAGCAACACGGGAACUGAGAAACGGUGCAGAGGAGUACGGGAGGAAGAAGUGGGGAAUAGUGGACAAUGGGAGAAAGACUGAGGAAGACAUGCCGCGUGUAUGAAGAAGGCAUUGGGGUAGUAAAGGACUUGCAGCGAGGAGGCGUGACUCGCAGAAGAAGCACCGGCUAACUCCGUGCCAGAAGCCGAGGUAAUUC